AUACAGAGGGGGCAAGCGUUAUUCGGAAUUAUUGGGCGUAAAGGGCGCGUAGGCGGUUUCUUAAGUGAGAUGUGUAAUCCCCGGGCUUAACCUGGGAACUGCAUCUCAUACUGGGAGGCUAGAGUACUGGAGAGGGUGGUAGAAUUCCACGUGUAGCGGUGAAAUGCGUAGAGAUGUGGAGGAAUACCAGUGGCGAAGGCGGCCACCUGGACAGUAACUGACGCUGAGGCGCGAAAGUGUGGGGAGC
rnacentral:rRNA from 1 species